CAGCUUACAUGGGUUUACAAUAGAGGCUGGCGCUUGGAAGGUGUGCCAGGUGCCACGGUCAAUCCCACACGUGGUCACACUGCUCCCUGCUUUCACUCCCACCAUCCACAUCAGUGCAGCUUUCUGCAGCAUCGCAGCUGUUGGCCAAAUCCUAAUCGAGGAGCCAUUAUCAGCAACAAGCAAGCAAGCAAGAUACAUCCCAGGGUCAGCCUGUGGGCCUGGCCAGGAGGAAAACUACACAUUGCAAACAGAGCACAUUUGAGCUGAAUACACCACAGAAAGCAAGAAGCACACAGCCCCUCACUGAUCCUGAAGUGGUUUUUCAGAGAUCUCCAUUUUGCUGUUGCAACAUACCCCAGUACUGCAGCGUGUGCUUAUAGGCUGCUACCCAAAACAGCACGAGAGGGGAAGAUAAUCACAUUUACUUUCCUACACAGAAUGAAAACCUGUUGCUUUUCUGCUCCCACUGUACAAGCAGUGUGUGUUUUACAUAUUGGCCUUUUAUGACAAGAUCAUGUCUUGAGUCAUCUGAAUAUACAAAUGCCCUUUCGUACAUGGUAGACCUAUGUAUAACAACACAUAUCUUAUCUCCUAUGCAUAGGGCAAACGCGGCGCAGUGUUGCAGAGAUGUACUCACUUGAGUUAAACACAGCUGUCUGCUGAUUCCACACCAAUACUCCUUCAUGACUCAUUAAUAUUAACAGGGUUUGCUUGCUUGCUGUUCCCACUGGGUAGGCACCCUGGCAGUGUCCAGAGCAGCUCCAGGAAACCCCCCAUACAUCCCAAGGCUGCGUUCCUGCUACCCCAUACAUCCCAAGGCUGCAUCCCUGCUCCCCCCAUACACCCCAAGGCUGCAUCCCUGCUACCCCCAUACACCCCAAGGCUGCAUCCCUGCUCAUGCUCUCCCCCAGCACCAAUGGGGCAGAGGGCAGUCCCAGAGGUGCCAGCAGUGCCCCUUCUCCUGCACCAAACUGGGAUGUGGAGCUGAGCUAAAAGCAGACAGGCACAGGAAUGGUUCACCAGUCUGCUGGGCGCUCACACUCCCCAUUUUUCCCUCCAUUGACUUAUUUGCUCAACUUAAAGGCAGAAAGAAAGAAAAAAAAAAAAAGGAAAAAGAAAAAAGAGAAAGCUAUUCUUGCCAGUUUUCCUGCAGGGACUCUAAUCCUGCUCCUGGUGGCAACAAACCACACAAAAUGCUGAUUCUCAGCAACGAAAAAAGUCUCUCCCUCACAUCCAAUACCUCUGCAGCUUUGAGGUGCUGCUGCAGCCGCCGGCUUCAACAGGGAGGAAUUUAACCUGAAGCUACAAUUCAGAAAUAAAACACCUUCAAUAAACAGCAUGAAAACCCUUCGCAAGCAGCAACCGGUAGUGAUGCUCUGCCCUGAGAGGCGUUGUGUGCCCGGAGUGAGGAGCUGAGGGCUGGGGUGGGCAUGCUGCAUCUCAGCCCUACUGCAAUGAUCCAGGUGCAGUGGUUCCCCAGCUCUCUGCCCCACAUCUCCCUCGCUGCCCACCAACAUAAAG
rnacentral:lncRNA from 1 species